GAUGAACGCUGGCGGCGUGCCUAAUACAUGCAAGUCGAGCGAACGGACGAGAAGCUUGCUUCUCUGAUGUUAGCGGCGGACGGGUGAGUAACACGUGGAUAACCUACCUAUAAGACUGGGAUAACUUCGGGAAACCGUAGCUAAUACCGGAUAAUAUUUUGAACCGCAUGGUUCAAAAGUGAAAGACGGUCUUGCUGUCACUUAUAGAUGGAUCCGCGCUGCAUUAGCUAGUUGGUAAGGUAACGUCUUACCAAGGCAACGAUGCAUAGCCGACCUGAGAGGGUGAUCGGCCACACUGGAACUGAGACACGGUCCAGACCCCUACGGGAGGCAGCAGUAGGGAAUCUUCCGCAAUGGGCGAAAGCCUGACGGAGCAACGCCGCGUGAGUGAUGAAGGUCUUCGGAUCGUAAAACUCUGUUAUUAGGGAAGAACAUAUGUGUAAGUAACUGUGCACAUCUUGACGGUACCUAAUCAGAAAGCCACGGCUAACUACGUG
rnacentral:rRNA from 1 species